GUUCUUCAGCCGCUCCUUGUUGGACUGGGGAGUGCUGAUCUGGGGCACGACGGGACUGAGGAGUUUGUUCAUCAGCUCUAAGACUUUAUCAGGGUUCUUUGCAAGGUCGUAUAGUUUUGCUGCUUCUUCAAACAAUCCUUUAUUUUCUGCCGCAGAAGCCACUUUGUUAAUAAUAGGUUUUGUGUCACUAUUAAACUUGUCUAUCACUCCGGGCUUUCGACUGCCAUCGUUUUCCAGCUUUCCGAGAAUCAUAUCAAACUCUCUGCUUUCAAUUACUAGCUCACUAACACAGCGCAAGAACAUAUUCUCUCCUUG
rnacentral:lncRNA from 1 species